GAGGAGGGUGGGGUCUGGGUUUGGCAUUGUUGGAAGGGAGGGAGGGAGGGAGGAAUGUGGAGAAAGGGAAGUGGGUUUUGGAAAUGGAGAGGGAGAGAGAGAGAGAGAGAAAGGGGGACUGUGUGUUUACUCUUUGCUAUCCUUCAGCUAUACCUCCUUUCGUCUUCUUGCUCUGUUCUGUGAAAUUACUUGCCUCUCUGUCUCUCUCUCUCUCUCACUUGUCAGUGCUGCGCAACAGAUUUAUCAUUGAUAGGAGUAGAAAACAGUAGAUAAAGGAG